ACAACGGAGAGUUUGAUCCUGGCUCAGGACGAACGCUGGCGGCGUGCCUAACACAUGCAAGUCAAGGGGAAAGGGAAUCUUCGGAAUCCCGAGUACACUGGCGGACGGGUGAGUAACACGUAGGUAACCUGCCCCGAGGACUGGGAUAACCCCUCCAACGGGGGGCUAAUACCGGAUGAGGUCCCUGCGGCGCAUGUCGCAGGGAUCAAAGCUGUCUCGAUUCGUCGGGAUAGCGCCGCGGGAUGGACCUGCGUCCCAUUAGCUAGUUGGUGAGGUAACGGCUCACCAAGGCGACGAUGGGUAGCCGGCCUGAGAGGGUGUCCGGCCACACUGGGACUGAGAUACGGCCCAGACUCCUACGGGAGGCAGCAGUGAGGAAUAUUGCGCAAUGGGCGAAAGCCUGACGCAGCAACGCCGCGUGGGUG
rnacentral:rRNA from 1 species